rnacentral:rRNA from 1 species
CCUACGGGAGGCAGCAGUGAGGAAUAUUGGUCAAUGGACGAGAGUCUGAACCAGCCCAGUAGCGUGAAGGAUGACUGCCCUAUGGGUUGUAAACUUCUUUUAUAUGGGAAUAAAACGUUCCACGUGUGGGAUUUUGUAUGUACCAUAUGAAUAAGGAUCGGCUAACUCCGUGCCAGCAGCCGCGGUAAUACGGAGGAUCCGAGCGUUAUCCGGAUUUAUUGGGUUUAAAGGGAGCGUAGGUGGAUUGUUAAGUCAGUUGUGAAAGUUUGCGGCUCAACCGUAAAAUUGCAGUUGAAACUGGCAGUCUUGAGUACAGUAGAGGUGGGCGGAAUUCGUGGUGGAGCGGUGAAAUGCUUAGAUAUCACGAAGAACUCCGAUUGCGAAGGCAGUUCACUGGACUGCAACUGACACUGAGGCUCGAAAGUGUGGGUAUCAAACAGGAUUAGAUACCCCUGUAGUC